UUCUAUUUGCAGCUGCACCUGACCCUUGAAAACUGGGAAAGUGUCGGUUUUGCCUAUUCUGAUUUCAUUCCUUGGGAGAUGAUGUUUAAAUUCCGGGCAAACAUCCUUCGCGAUUGCAGGAGGAGGUAAAAAACUGAGGCUCAGUGAAGUUAAGCAACUUACUCAAGGUCAGGCAGUCAUGAAGCUGGGAUUCCAUCAUUCAUCUAUUAAUUCAAAACACUUUUGCUGAGAACCUAUGUAUCGUGCCCUAUGUUAGGUGUUGGGAAAACAGCAAUUAAGACAGUGUCCUUGGCCUCAUAAGCCUUACAAUCAAGUGGGAGAAAGUAAACAAGUCAUCAAACAAGAUA
rnacentral:lncRNA from 10 species